AUGUCGGCCGCCCAGAUCAGGGCCGAGAUCAACGGCCUUAUCGCCUCCAAGUUCGCCGAGGGUACGGUGGAUCAGUAUUUCUUGCAGCUGUACGUGAUGCGGAGGUACAAGAAGAUACGCAAGGGCAUGGUCGUUGAGGUCAUGGAACGCUUCCUCCAAGACGCUGACAAGAUCCUCACCGAAAUCGCCGUCUUGCUGAACGAGCCCCAGCUGGACUACGACAAGGUGGAGGGGAUCGCGGAUCAGCUCGAGGGGUGCAGCAGCAGCAGUGUUGGUGCUAAGAGAGUCAACCUCUCAUGCGUGGAGUACUUCCAUCCUGAGGCAAAAACCGAAGAAGGGAACCAGCCAGUGGUGGACUUCGACAAGGUGGACGCCCUCGUGCAGCAGCUCAAGGGGUGUAGCUCCAGUGUUGGUGCUAACAAACUGAGCGUCUCAUGCAUGCACUUCCGUCGGUUCAAUCAUUCAAAAUCCAAAGAAGGGUACCUCAUUGCAUUGGCUCCUAUUAUGAAUGAGUUCUGUGAUGUGCGCAACAUGUUCCUCACCAUACUGCAGAUGGAGGAACAGGUCGAUGCCUUGGGCCCUAAGUACUAG
rnacentral:rRNA from 1 species